GUAGGUGAACCUGCGGAAGGAUCAUUAACACGUAUCCAAACGUUAAAACCCCCCCCCGUGAACAUUAAGACGUCUUUCCGGAGGUUGUUUAACAAUGUAUGUCACCAGUGAGCUGACAGUAAACCAGGGUUAUUGGCCGAGAGGUAGACGGAAGGAGCUCCCCAUUUAAUGUAAACCCUAGUAAAUCAGCGGAGGAAAGAGUUUGAUUUAGGGUCCCCAUUAGACAGCUGGAUAGAGCUCCGCCUAAGAU
rnacentral:misc_RNA from 1 species